GGGAGCCAAAAACUAAAUGAACGAAGUUCAUUUCUAUAAAUGUUUUUGGCGAACUGCCGCCGAAUGAAGGGAGAAGUUUAAAUGGAUA
rnacentral:sRNA from 1 species